AUGAACGCUAGCUACAGGCUUAACACAUGCAAGUCGAGGGGCAGCAUUUUAGUUUGCUUGCAAACUGAAGAUGGCGACCGGCGCACGGGUGAGUAACACGUAUCCAACCUGCCGAUAACUCCGGAAUAGCCUUUCGAAAGAAAGAUUAAUACCGGAUAGCAUACGAAUAUCGCAUGAUAUUUUUAUUAAAGAAUUUCGGUUAUCGAUGGGGAUGCGUUCCAUUAGUUUGUUGGCGGGGUAACGGCCCACCAAGACUACGAUGGAUAGGGGUUCUGAGAGGAAGGUCCCCCACAUUGGAACUGAGACACGGUCCAAACUCCUACGGGAGGCAGCAGUGAGGAAUAUUGGUCAAUGGGCGAGAGCCUGAACCAGCCAAGUAGCGUGAAGGAUGAAGGCUCUAUGGGUCGUAAACUUCUUUUAUAUGGGAAUAAAGUUUUCCACGUGUGGAAUUUUGUAUGUACCAUAUGAAUAAGGAUCGGCUAACUCCGUGCCAGCAGCCGCGGUAAUACGGAGGAUCCGAGCGUUAUCCGGAUUUAUUGGGUUUAAAGGGAGCGUAGGUGGAUUGUUAAGUCAGUUGUGAAAGUUUGCGGCUCAACCGUAAAAUUGCAGUUGAAACUGGCAGUCUUGAGUACAGUAGAGGUGGGCGGAAUUCGUGGUGUAGCGGUGAAAUGCUUAGAUAUCACGAAGAACUCCGAUUGCGAAGGCAGCUCACUAGACUGUCACUGACACUGAUGCUCGAAAGUGUGGGUAUCAAACAGGAUUAGAUACCCUGGUAGUCCACACUGUAAACGAUGAAUACUAGGUGUGCGGGGACUGACCCCCUGCGUGCCGCAGUUAACACAAUAAGUAUUCCACCUGGGGAGUACGCCGGCAACGGUGAAACUCAAAGGAAUUGACGGGGGCCCGCACAAGCGGAGGAACAUGUGGUUUAAUUCGAUGAUACGCGAGGAACCUUACCCGGGCUUAAAUUGCAACAGAAUAUAUUGGAAACAGUAUAGCCGUAAGGCUGUUGUGAAGGUGCUGCAUGGUUGUCGUCAGCUCGUGCCGUGAGGUGUCGGCUUAAGUGCCAUAACGAGCGCAACCCUUAUCUUUAGUUACUAACAGGUGAUGCUGAGGACUCUAGAGAGACUGCCGUCGUAAGAUGUGAGGAAGGUGGGGAUGACGUCAAAUCAGCACGGCCCUUACGUCCGGGGCUACACACGUGUUACAAUGGGGGGUACAGAAGGCGGCUACCUGGUGACAGGAUGCUAAUCCCAAAAACCUCUCUCAGUUCGGAUCGAAGUCUGCAACCCGACUUCGUGAAGCUGGAUUCGCUAGUAAUCGCGCAUCAGCCAUGGCGCGGUGAAUACGUUCCCGGGCCUUGUACACACCGCCCGUCAAGCCAUGAAAGCCGGGGGUACCUGAAGUACGUAACCGCAAGGAGCGUCCUAGGGUAAAACUGGUAAUUGGGGCU
rnacentral:rRNA from 1 species